rnacentral:lncRNA from 1 species
AUGAGGUUGUGGCGCCCGGCGGGAGGCGGCCGCCAGACUGACAUCAGGCCUGCACCAGCCGGCAGCUCGCUCCGCCUGCCCGCGUCCCCGCGGCCCGGAUGGGCCAGCAGCCUGCAGCCCGGCCCCUGGGGAGCCCCCGCCGGCCACUGCUCUCAAGACUGGGACAGCUGCCUCUUCCCGCCCCCAGGCCUCCAAGGAGCCCUCCCAGAGGCCGCGGAAGCCCCGCCUGCUUCAGCAGGCCUGCGCACCUGGCUGAUGGCACCUGCAGAGAGCCUUAAGCGGACCCAGCCCCAGGCCGGGCCCCGGAAGCCUCUUCAGCCGCCCAGGCCCCCAGGACUGCCCCAAAGGAGUCACCUGGGGUCGGCAGAGGAGCCUGCCCAGGAGCACAGGGCCCCCGAGUGGCAGAGCCGGACGGUGGAGCCAGCUUGCUGGGUCCUGAAGCUGGGCCCUCAGGACUGCGUCUCCGGUGACAGCGCAGACGGCUGUGAUGAUGGGGCAUGCCGCGUCUCUGCUGGCCAGGGAGCCGCUCGUGGCCGCAGAGCACGCGGAUGGCGGCUUGUGGAACUCGAGUGGCGAGGGAGCUUAACUGUUCAUUUACUUCGCUUUAGUUAACUUUAAGCGGCCACGCGUGGCUAGCGGCCCCCGAGCAGGACGGCGCGGGCCUAAGCUCCGGCACUAUGGGAGAAGCAUCUCAACUCCAGUUUUGCUGCCAGGAGUGAGCAGUCACCCCGGGGGGUGAGGGGCACGUGUCAGCCCUGGGGUAAUGCUUUCUGUCAGCAGGAAGUCAAGGCCAAGAUGGGCCAGGGCUGGUCUGGAGGGAGCCACCUGAGCCCUGGUCCCUAACAGCCAUCCUGAGUCACCGCCUUCUUAACCUGGAGACGGCCUCACAGCGCUGCGUCCAGCCACUCGGAUAAGCUCAGACGGAAUCAAACCAUUCCAGCUGAACCCAACACGGGAGUUUGGCCUGAGAGUUUGUUUUGACAGAAAGACUCACGGACUUAGAGAAUUAACUUACGUGUGAGCUCACCCGAAACUAUGGCAGCAUUGUUAACGGGCUCUACCCCGACGCAGAAUAAGAAGUUUAAAAACAGUUUGUGCUGAGUGGUAACCAUGACGACGAGCGACCUGGAAGCUCACGCUAGGCGCUGCUUGCUGUGCGUCACCGAUGUCCGUUCCUCUCGUUUCGCAGGAAUGCAUGUGAGGCAGGCAGUGUGGUCCUCACUCUAAGGUGGGAAACUGAGCCUCUUGAUGUCUUAAUGGCUCCACGCGGCUCAUCCGAGGGAGCUGGGACCUGCAGCCUGGGCUGUCCGCCCGCAGAGUCUGCGUUCUUCCCACCAGGCCUUCACCAACGGCGCAGCUUCGCUGUCACAAGGCCACUGAGUCUGCUCGACUACUCUCCCGCCCAUGGUUUCAGAAAGAGAGAAAGAGCACUCAGCAUAGACAGAGUCAGAGACACAAGUUCAAGUCUUCGUCCUGGAGAAAUCGUAACACCCAGCACCAAGGCGUCUCCACUACAGGACACGGGAGAAGGCCCUGGGUAAUUUCGAAAGGUGACGUCGAGAACGGAUGUGGGUAUUUGCGGGUGAAGGCAGACGGCUUUAGAAUGGAUCUGGAAAUAUUUUAUGACAUACUAAAAGCCACGGUGGGGGUGGAAAUAUGAGCCUGUUUUGCACAUUACCAAACACAGUGAACUUAUUUUUUCAUCUCAUUUCAUUUUAAGUAAGUUAAAUAGCUACAUGUGAUUAGUAGCCCCUGAACAGGACAGCAUAGGUCUGAGCCACUGGCUCCACUGGAGAUGCUGGUCUGGACUCGGGCUUCUGUUGAGCAGCUGCCAAGCCACCAGUCCUGGCUUCCUGGGUGGAGAAGCGGGGCUCUGACAGUCACCUUCACGCCCACCCUGACUGUCCCAGGGAAGCAGAGAGACCAGGAGCCCCUAAGGAGGGAAGAGGCCGGUGCCUGUGGCUGGACAGGCCUUCCCAGGCUUGGCUACAGACCACCCCCCUGCCCUGCACGCUGGAGUAUCUCCUCUGCACCCAGGCCUCUGCAGAAUGCUUGAGGACAAGUGCAUGUCCUAUUAUGACCGUCUUACAGGUGAGAAAAGUGAGGUUCAGAAUAGGCAGUUAGCUUGCCCCAGAUCACCUGACCAGCAAGCGCCAGAGCUGCCAUCUACCUGCAAAGUCUUGUCCUGGACCCCAGCUCUGCUGCCCUCACACCAGGCGGGGGGAGGGAAGACACCCCCCGCCCCAGGCGAGGGAAGCAAGUGGGCAUGGCAGGAGAUGAGGCUGGGGGCCUCCACCUGCCCUGGCCCUUCUGGCUGCCGGCCACGGCCAUGCCCCACCCACCCUGCGCCCACCCAGGGCCACCCCUCCCCGCUGCUGCCUGGCAGGAAAAUCUGAUUCUCCCUGCGGGCAAACACUCCUCCUGGGGCCUCCCCAAAGGUUUCAGAUAAUGAAAGAGCCAUAAAGAAGCAAUAAGAGGCCAAUUAUCUCACCCUUAUCUGAGCUUCCUGCAUGUCUAAUGCCUCUCAGCUUGCAGGUGCAGAAAGGCCAGCUACUAAGACGACACCGUCUUACAAGGUGAGGCCACUGUCACCUGCAGGCCAAGGAGAGGAGCCAAGUCCACAGAGAGAAACCGAGGAGGAAGGCUGGGCAGAAAGGAGGAGGCGGGACGGGUAAGAGCCGUCUCCCAGGCCCCUGAUGGCAGCGUUCAGACUUAGGAGGACACCGCGGAGCUCAAGGCACCUUCUGAGCCCAUCUCCUCUCUCUCCAGGGACAAGCCCGGGACGAGGGGAGUGAGUGUCCUGUGACAGCAGGGACCUGCUUUGUCCUGGCCACCCCGUUCCGUCAGCCCCUUCGCUCAGGGGACACUCAGUGAUGACGGAUGCCCCUGCCCCCCCAGCCUAUUUUAUGCAUUUAUUUAUUAUUUUUAAAAUCUAUCUGGCUGCACCAGGCCUUAAUUGGGGCACCGGGCAUUGAAGAUCUUUAGUUGUGGCAUGGGGCUCUAGUUCCCUGACCAGGGAUGGAACCCAGGCCCCCUGCAUUAACCAGGCUUACCCACUGGACCA